rnacentral:rRNA from 1 species
AUGUCGGGCCACAUUUGCCCACGGCUCUUCUACUUGGAGGCGGCCGACUACAUCGAGGAGGACAUCGCCGCCGACGGGCUCGGCGACUUGCCCGCCCCAGCUGCUGUGGAGGUCGCACCGGUGCCCGCUUCGGUGACAGCUCUCGUGGUCUCCCUUCAUGCCCUCGCGGGUAUACGUGCGGAGCAGACUAUGCUCCUGCCGGUGAUGAUCAACGGCGAGCGCCUCGUGGCCCUCCUGGAUACGGGCUCCACCCAUAACUUCCUGCCUGAGUCGACCAUGCGCCGCUUGGCACUUCACCCGACGGGCGGGGAGCAGCUCCAGGUCACCGUGGCUAACGGCUACCGCCUCCGAUGUCAUGGGAUUGCGCGAAACGUCCCCAUCACCAUCGGCGACGAGCACUUCACCAUCACGUGCGCCGGCAUCGACUUGGGCUGCUUCGACUUCAUCCUCGGCGUCCACUUCUUGCGGACCCUGGGUCCCAUCCUCUGGGACUUCGACGCCAUGACGAUGACCUUAUGGCGCCUGGGUCACCGCGUUCGGUGGGAGGGCGUGGGUGGCGCCUCACCAGCGCCGCCGCAUCUGCAGCUGGCGGCGACUGCUGCAGGGCCUGAGCACCCCAUGUUGGAUCAUCUCUUGCAGCAGCACCGCGACCUCUUCGACGAGCCCCAGGGCCUUCCGCCAGCUCGGGAGUACGACCACCGCAUUCACCUACUGCCGGGCACAGCCCCUAUGGCGGUGCGCCCUUACCACUACCCUCAGUUGCAGAAGGACGAGCUGGAGCGGCAGCGCGCAGUCAUGCUCGCCUUGGGCAUCAUCCGAAUCUCUACCUCGCCGUUUUCGGCGCUGGUCCUCCUCAUCCGCAAUGCGGUUGCGGACUGGCACGUGGCGUUUCUGCAUCGACUACCAUGCUCUUAA